rnacentral:tRNA from 1 species
GGAGAGUUGGCAGAGUGGUUGAAUGCGGCGGUCUUGAAAACCGUUAUACCCGCAAGGGUAUCCGGGGUUCGAAUCCCUGACUCUCCGCCA